GACGAACGCUGGCGGCGUGCCUAACACAUGCAGGUCGAGCGGGGAUUUAAGUGGAAGUUCUUCGGAAUGGAGAUUUAAAUUCUAGCGGCGGACGGGUGAGUAACGCGUGAACAAUCUGUCCCGGACAGGGGGAUAACACUUGGAAACAGGUGCUAAUACCGCAUAAGACCACGGCCUCGCAUGGGGCUGAGGUAAAAGGAGCAAUCCGGUUCGGGGUGAGUUCGCGUCCGAUUAGCUAGUUGGUGAGGUAACGGCCCACCAAGGCGACGAUCGGUAGCCGGCCUGAGAGGGUGAACGGCCACAUUGGAACUGAGAGACGGUCCAAACUCCUACGGGAGGCAGCAGUGGGGAAUAUUGGGCAAUGGGCGAAAGCCUGACCCAGCAACGCCGCGUGAGGGAAGAAGGUUUUCGGAUUGUAAACCUCUGUCCUAUGGGACGAAGGAAGUGACGGUACCAUAGGAGGAAGCCCCGGCUAACUACGUG
rnacentral:rRNA from 1 species